rnacentral:lncRNA from 1 species
CUCCCUUCUCUUGAUCAGCUCAGAAUCCUCAGCCUUCGGGGUGAAGAGACCUUAGUGGCUGAAACAGAAGCCAGUUGGAGGGGGGUCAGGAGUGAAUGAAGCAAAGCAGUGUCUCCUCUCCUCCCAGCAGAAGCAGAGGGGGAAAAUCAAAACAAUAGGAGAAGCAAGGAGAAAGCCUGAGCCAGCUGGGUUUUUGCUGAGGCCAAUCCUGGCUGCUUCCUCUCCUGCCUGGCUUAGAUGGUGGCAGGAACAGAGAGGAGAAUUUGCCAAGGGCCCCAUCUCCAAACAGGAAAGUUGACUUGGAGCAGUACUCCCUUCCUACCCAGGAAGGGGCCAGCACUGCGGAAGGAGUCAGGUGAUCUGUCCCUAAGGUGUACCUCUGUAAUGCCCCAGCAAAGCGAGGCACCCAGGGAUUGCCAAGUCAAGUCAGCGACUCUGACGGUGGG